UGACAGUCUAGUAUUGUACGCGUGACAGUCUAGUAUUGUACAUGUGACAGUGUAGUAUUGUACGUGACACGCAGUAGUGAAUUACUUAUUUUCUUUGUUGUUUUGUGGAGUUCACUUCGCCUAGUAACUUAAGAGCACUAGUUUCAAAAAGUAACAGAAAAACUUGUAUUGAUUCGUGGACAGACAUUAUUAGAUUGCCAAGAGAUCUGUGCCUCACCUCAAGCAGAAGUAUUGCAGGCUGGUCACGUGACAAGAACUAUCGUAUAACAUGUCAGGAAAGCAAAGCCUCGCAGAUUCAAAACGAAAUAUAGAUGUAAUUGAGCGAGAUAUACCUGGCAAGAAUACCAAAUUUCAAUCAGUGCCAUUGUUAUCU
rnacentral:sRNA from 1 species